rnacentral:rRNA from 1 species
AGUGAACGCUGGCGGUAGGCCUAACACAUGCAAGUCGAACGGCAGCACAGUAAGAGCUUGCUCUUACGGGUGGCGAGUGGCGGACGGGUGAGGAAUACAUCGGAAUCUACUUUUUCGUGGGGGAUAACGUAGGGAAACUUACGCUAAUACCGCAUACGACCUACGGGUGAAAGCAGGGGAUCUUCGGACCUUGCGCGAUUGAAUGAGCCGAUGUCGGAUUAGCUAGUUGGCGGGGUAAAGGCCCACCAAGGCGACGAUCCGUAGCUGGUCUGAGAGGAUGAUCAGCCAAACUGGAACUUAAACACGGUCCAGACUCCUACGGGAGGCAGCAGUGGGGAAUAUUGGACAAUGGGCGCAAGCCUGAUCCAGCCAUACCGCGUGGGUGAAGAAGGCCUUCGGGUUGUAAAGCCCUUUUGUUGGGAAAGAAAAGCAGCAGGUUAAUACCCCGCUGUUCUGACGGUACCCAAAGAAUAAGCACCGGCUAACUUCGUG